UACGUAGGGGGCAAGCGUUGUCCGGAAUCAUUGGGCGUAAAGAGCGUGUAGGCGGCCAGAUAAGUCCGCUGUGAAAUCUCGAGGCUCAACUUCGAGCUGUCGGUGGAAACUGUCUGGCUAGAGUCCGGAAGAGGAGAAUGGAAUUCCUGGUGUAGCGGUGAAAUGCGCAGAUAUCGGGAGGAACACCGGUGGCGAAGGCGGCUCACUGGUCCAUUACUGACGCUGAGGUGCGAAAGCGUGGGGAGCAAACAGG
rnacentral:rRNA from 1 species